rnacentral:rRNA from 1 species
GUAGUCCACGCCCUAAACGAUGCGAACUGGAUGUUGGUGGGAACUUGCCCAUCAGUAUCGAAGCUAACGCGUUAAGUUCGCCGCCUGGGGAGUACGGUCGCAAGACUGAAACUCAAAGGAAUUGACGGGGGCCCGCACAAGCGGUGGAGUAUGUGGUUUAAUUCGAUGCAACGCGCAGAACCUUACCUGGCCUUGACAUGUCGCGAACCCCUGAGAGAUUGGGGGGUGCCUUCGGGAACGCGAACACAGGUGCUGCAUGGCUGUCGUCAGCUCGUGUCGUGAGAUGUUGGGUUAAGUCCCGCAACGAGCGCAACCCUUGUCCCUAGUUGCCAGCACGUAAAGGUGGGAACUCUAGGGAGACCGCCGGUGACAAACCGGA